GGGGCAGUGAACACGAGACAGGGGAACGUUUAUAAUGUUCACAUUUUAAUAAUUUCACAACUAAAUUAGUAUCUUGAAAAUCACCCAAGCUAACUAAACAAAUACGAAAAUUGUCUGAAACAGAACUAAACCUUGGAUCGUCCAGGAUCAUCCAGUAGUCUCGCUAACAAAACAGUUCAAUUUCUACCGGAAGUGGAUUCCGACACCACGCUUAGCCGGAAGUUAACAGACGCCAUCUUGUUGGAAGGAAGUUGUUUUUAUCCUUGGAGAGGAGACGGUAUCUUUUGGACGACAUACAGUUCUCUUUUGCUGUAAUUUGAGAAUGCCACGGAGAGGGCGUCGGUCGGAGUCAGCCAAGAAGAGAUGGAGGAGGACGAACUCUGAGCCGGACAUCGCCAAGCCCAGGACACCCCCACCCACCCCUCAGGCUUGGUCCCCCACUCAAUCUCCAGAGAGAAAGGUAUGA